rnacentral:misc_RNA from 1 species
UCUCCGUUGGUGAACCAGCGGAGGGAUCAUUACUGGAAUCGCAAGAUCCCACAACCCCUGUGAACCUAACGAAACGUUGCCGCGGCGGGCGCCCGGCCCCGGGCCGUGCGCUGAGCCCGCCGGAGGCCCCCUACUCUUGCCUCUGCAGAGUGGCAUCGCAGAGACCCAGAAAACAAGUAAAAACUUUCAACAACGGAUCUCUUGGCUCUA